AUUGAACGCUGGCGGCAAGCCUAACACAUGCAAGUCGAACGAGUGGCGGACGGGUGAGUAAUGUCUGGGAACCUGCCUGAUGGAGGGGGAUAACUACUGUAAACUGUAGCUACUACCGCAUACCGUCGGAUGGGCCCAGAUUGGAUUAGCUAGUGGGUGGGGUAAAGGCUCACCUAGGCGACUCGCCCUAGCUGGUCUGAGAGGAUGACCAGCCACACUGGAACUGAGACACGGUCCAGACUCCUACGGGAGGCAGCAGUGGGGAAUAUUGCACAAUGGACGCAAGCCUGAUGCAGCCAUGCCGCGUGUAUGAAGAAGGCUUUCGGGUUGUAAAGUACUGUCAGCGGGGAGGCGUUACCCGCAGAAGAAGCACCGGCUAACUCCGUGCCAGCAGCCGCGGUAAUUC
rnacentral:rRNA from 1 species